rnacentral:rRNA from 1 species
AUGGCAAAAUGCUUCAAUAAGGUGCUCAAGGGUGUACGUGCAUUACCCGUGACGGCAAUAGUUCAAUACACAUUUGACAAGAUGAAUGAAUACUUUUUAAAGCACUCAAUGGAGACUGAUAAGCAGAUUGCUGGUGAGAACAAGGAUAAGCACAAGUACAAUUUCCCACCAAAGGUUGAACAAUGGUUGGACUUUCAAUCACGAAAGGCAGACUCCGAAGAAGCUGUACUAUAUGACGACAACGAGUGGAAGUAUAAGGUGAAAGAGCCCGGAGGAACCACAAACGAUGGCCGCCAACACGGAGGCCGGGAUUUCAAGGUCUCCCUAACACGGUGUGAUUGCAGCUGCAUGAGGCCAUCUUUGCUUCAUCUCCCAUGCUCGCACUUGUUAAAUGCAUCCCAGGUUAGGAAUGUGGACGUCAAUCACCCUCUUACCGUGAGGGAGUCCGAGUUCUCAAUCAUGACGGUAAAGAAUACAUGGACUCCACGGUUCCAGCCAUACUUGGACCAAUCACAAUGGCCGGAGUAUCAUGGAGUUCAACUAUGGCCGGACCCG